rnacentral:rRNA from 1 species
GCAGAGCAUCCUACGGGAGGCAGCAGUGGGGAAUAUUGCACAAUGGGCGCAAGCCUGAUGCAGCCAUGCCGCGUGUAUUGAAGAAGGCCUUCGGGUUGUAAAGUAUUCAGCAGUGAGGAAGGUGGGUAUGUUAAUAGCAUACUCAUUUGACGUUAGCUGCAGAAGAAGCACCGGCUAACUCCGUGCCAGCAGCCGCGGUAAUACGGAGGGUGCGAGCGUUAAUCGGAAUUACUGGGCGUAAAGCGCAUGCAGGUGGUUUGUUAAGUCAGAUGUGAAAGCCCGGGGCUCAACCUCGGAAUUGCAUUUGAAAACUGGCAAACUAGAGUACUGUAGAGGGGGUAGAAUUUCAGGUGUAGCGGUGAAAUGCGUAGAGAUCUGAAGGAAUACCGGUGGCGAAGGCGGCCCCCUGGACAGAUACUGACACUCAGAUGCGAAAAGCGUGGGGAGCAAAACAGGAUUAGAUACCCUGGUAG